rnacentral:rRNA from 1 species
UACAGAGGGGGCAAGCGUUGUUCGGAAUUACUGGGCGUAAAGCGCGCGUAGGCGGCUUUGCAAGUCGGGUGUGAAAUCCCCAGGCUUAACCUGGGAACUGCAUUCGAGACUGCAUUGCUAGAGUAUGGGAGAGGGAAGUGGAAUUUCCGGUGUAGCGGUGAAAUGCGUAGAUAUCAGGAGGAACACCGGUGGCGAAGGCGGCUACCUGGACAGAAACUGACGCUGAGGCGCGAAAGCUAGGGGAGCAAACAGG